rnacentral:rRNA from 1 species
AGGAUUAACGCUGGCGGCGUGCAUGAAACAUGCAAGUCGAGCGCGGUGUGAUGCGGGGUAACCCAAUUCACAUCUAGCGGCGAACGGGUGAGUAACACGUGAGCAACCUACCUUUGAGUUGGGGAUAGCCCUGGGAAACCAGGAUUAAUACCCGAUGUGGUCACAACAGGACAUCCUGAUGUGAGUAAAGGCGUAAGCCGCUCAAUGACGGGCUCGCGGCCUAUUAGCUUGUUGGUGGGGUAACGGCCUACCAAGGCGAUGAUGGGUAGCUGGUCUGAGAGGAUGAUCAGCCACACUGGGAUUGAGAACGGCCCAGACUCCUACGGGGGGCAGCAGUGAGGAAUUUUCGUCAAUGGGGGCAACCCUGAACGAGCAACGCCGCGUGCAGGGAGACGCUUUUCGGAGUGUAAACUGCUUUUCUUAGGGACGAGUAAGGACGGUACCUAAGGAAUAAGCCCGGCUAACUACGUGCCAGCAGCCGC